UUUUUAGUCACAGUGAUGUGAAAUCUGAGGGAACAACACCAAAUGGAGAACAUUUGCUGUCAAUGGAUAAGGAUGGUGAUCAAUUUGUUCUGAAAGUCUGGACAUUUGAACACCUAAACAGUGUGCUGAAAGUUGCUGGAGAAGGCAAAUGCCAAGAGACCCAAGCUUGCCUGGAAG